GUGCCAGCAGCCGCGGUAACACGUAGGGGGCGAGCGUUGUUCGGAAUCAUUGGGCGUAAAGGGCGCGCAGGCGGCCGUGUAAGUCUGGUGUAAAAUGGUUGUGCUCAACACAAUCAUGCGCUGGAAACUGCGGGGCUUGAGUCAACGAGGGGAUGCCGGAAUUCCAGGUGUAGGGGUGAAAUCUGUAGAUAUCUGGAAGAACACCAGUGGCGAAGGCAGGCAUCUGGCGACUGACUGACGCUGAGGCGCGAAGGUGCGGGGAGCAAACAGGUUUAGAUACCCUGGUAGUCCGCACAGUAAACGAUGUGCACCAGGUGGCGGGCAGCAGUGCUCGGUACCGAAGCAAACGCAUUAAGUGCACCGCCUGGGGAGUAUGCCCGCAAGGGUGAAACUCAAAGGAAUUGACGGGGGCCCGCACAAGCGGUGGAGCAUGUGGUUUAAUUCGACGAUACGCGAGAAACCUUACCAGGGCUUGACAUACACCGGAAUAUGGCGGAAACGUCAUAGCUGCUUGCAGUCGGUGAACAGGUGCUGCAUGGCUGUCGUCAGCUCGUGCUGUGAAGUGUUGGGUUAAGUCCCGCAACGAGCGCAACCCCUGCCUUCUGUUACCAUCAUUCAGUUGGGGACUCAGAAGGAACUGCCGGUGACAAACCGGAGGAAGGUGGGGACGACGUCAAGUCAUCAUGGCCCUUACGUCCUGGGCCACACACGUGCUACAAUGGCCGGUACAGAGUGCUGCGAAUCCGGAAGGAGGAGCGAAUCACAAAAAGCCGGUCUCAGUACGGACUGGAGUCUGCAACCCGACUCCACGAAGUUGGAAUCGCUAGUAAUCCCGUAUCAGCAUGACGGGGUGAAUACGUUCCCGGGCCUUGUACACACCGCCCGU
rnacentral:rRNA from 1 species